rnacentral:rRNA from 1 species
CACGGGGGGAGGCAAGCGUUGUUCGGAAUCACGUGGGCGUAAAGGGCGUGUAGGCGGUCAGGUAAGUGGGAUGUGAAAUCGCCCCGGCUCACCCGGGGACCGGCAUCCCAUACUCGACUUGGCUUGGAGUACGGAGGAGAGUGUGGGAAUUCCUGGUGUAGCGGUGAAAUGCGUAGAUAUCAAGGAGGAACAGCCGGUGGCGAAGCUGCAGCAUCUGGCCCGAAUACUGACGCUGAAGGCGCGAAAGCAUAGGGGGAGCAAACGGG